AGUUAUAACUCAAUAAAAAUGGGGAGUAAUCGAUAAGUUGUCUCCAAAUCAUUUAUCAUACAACUAUUGGGGACGGAGAUAGUGGAAUUACCUAUGAUUUUAUAUGAAAUAGUAAUUCAAGUAGAAUAGGAGACAAAACACAUUCAACCUAGCAAAAAAGCCACCGACUUUUUCUUUUCUUGCGCCGGCUAAAUAGACAAAAGUAUGAGAUUCUAAAAGUUCAUUCACCCAAGCUUAAAUUUUCUACUCGAAUUCAUCUGGUUUCUGAAUAAUCAUUACAACCCAUAAUCAAUACCUCUCCGUGAAAUUUACUUCUUCCAGAAGUGUUGGAAUGUACUCAUUCGUGCUACUCUUCAAGGAUACUUUUAUCGAUUUCAAGGUUCUCCAUCCUCUCGGUUCCCUUCAACUCGUAAUGUGGUUUCAAUUCACAAUCAUAGUCAUUUGACAAGCUCAUAUUGUGCCAUUGCUUGGUUUCUAUAAUUUGCCAAUUCUCAAUUCUAAGUCAAUUAGUAACCUGCAGCAACAUGAUGGCAGAUAAGCUUUUUUUUUCUUUGGACUCUAAUUAUUUCUUAGAAGCUGACUUUUCAUUCUUUUCCAUACUUGAGUUGUUACUAACAGACUCCCUAGGUUAAUGCAUUGUGUAUAUGUCUUAGCUUCUUAUCAUUGUUCUCCAAUUAAAUUCAUAUCCAUAUUGAGAGAAUCUUUUGAUUCAUAUACUGUGUAGGUAGUAAUAAUGAUAGAAAAAACCUAUCUUGUACCUUAAUAAGGUUCUCUAAGCUAAAUUUAUAUAUUCAUUUGACUCAAAUAAUAUGUAUCAGCGGCCAUCUAUUAUAUGUUGGAAAAUUGGAGUGAGAUGGACAAGGAGAAUGCAAAUGGUGACAUCUUAAAAUACCAAGUAUGUUUGAUUUUUCAUUUUGUAAGUUUUAAUCUUUUUUGUUUUAGAUUAUUUUACAGUCUCUCUGUUUCGGUCAUAUGAUGGUGGAUUCGGGAUGGUUCCUAGCUCAGAAUCUAAAGGACGAUGUGUAAUCAGGCAAAAGAAUAUCAUUCAUUUUCAUGAAGACUUCUCAGCAAGCUAAUAUUAUUUUUUGCAUUGUGUAUACAUUAUUAUCUUAGUACUUUUAAUUUUUUUAAAUAACUUUUAGUGGAUUAAUUUUUAGCUA